UCUACCCUAAAUUGGUUCUCAUUCAUAUGGUAUGAUUUAAAAAUAUAUUUUUGUUGUCUUGCUCCAGGUAUAAAAUAAACAUCAUCUGCUGAAAUCCCGAGCACUUCUUUAAAUUCUUUGCGUUUUCUCAGGAGGAUCAGGACCUGUUGGAGAAAUUUUGAUAAGAUUGGCAAACACGUUGCCUGUUUACAGCAUAGAGACCACAAUGGAGAGCUAGACUAUUUGAACUCCAGAAGGAC
rnacentral:lncRNA from 1 species